rnacentral:rRNA from 1 species
UUUUGAGUUUGAUCGUGGCUCAGGACGAACGGUGCCGGCGUGCCUAAUACAUGCAAGUUGAGCGCUCGAAGGUUGGUACUUGUACCGACUGGAUGAGCAGCGAACGGGUGAGUAWCGCGUGGGGAAUCKGCCUUUGAGCGGGGGACAACAUUUGGAAACGAAUGCUAAUACCGCAUAAAAACUUUAAACACAAGUUUUAAGUUUGAAAGAUGCAAUUGCAUCACUCAAAGAUGAUCCCGCGUUGUAUUAGCUAGUUGGUGAGGUAAAGGCUCACCAAGGCGAUGAUACAUAGCCGACCUGAGAGGGUGAUCGGCCACAUUGGGACUGAGACACGGCCCAAACUCCUACGGGAGGCAGCAGUAGGGAAUCUUCGGCAAUGGACGAAAGUCUGACCGAGCAACGCCGCGUGAGUGAAGAAGGUUUUCGGAUCGUAAAACUCUGUUGGUAGAGAAGAACGUUGGUGAGAGUGGAAAGCUCAUCAAGUGACGGUAACUACCCAGAAAGGGACGGCUAACUACGUGCCAGCCGCCGCCGUAACACAA